rnacentral:rRNA from 1 species
GGUUAAGCGACUAAGCGUACACGGUGGAUGCCCUGGCAGUCAGAGGCGAUGAAGGACGUGCUAAUCUGCGAUAAGCGUCGGUAAGGUGAUAUGAACCGUUAUAACCGGCGAUUUCCGAAUGGGGAAACCCAGUGUGAUUCGUCACACUAUCAUUAACUGAAUCCAUAGGUUAAUGAGGCGAACCGGGGGAACUGAAACAUCUAAGUACCCCGAGGAAAAGAAAUCAACCGAGAUUCCCCCAGUAGCGGCGAGCGAACGGGGAGCAGCCCAGAGCCUGAAUCAGUGUGUGUGUUAGUGGAAGCGUCUGGAAAGGCGCGCGAUACAGGGUGACAGCCCCGUACACAAAAAUGCACAUACUGUGAGCUCGAUGAGUAGGGCGGGACACGUGGUAUCCUGUCUGAAUAUGGGGGGACCAUCCUCCAAGGCUAAAUACUCCUGACUGACCGAUAGUGAACCAGUACCGUGAGGGAAAGGCGAAAAGAACCCCGGCGAGGGGAGUGAAAAAGAACCUGAAACCGUGUACGUACAAGCAGUGGGAGCACAGAGCAAUCUGUGUGACUGCGUACCUUUUGUAUAAUGGGUCAGCGACUUAUAUUCUGUAGCAAGGUUAACCGAAUAGGGGAGCCGAAGGGAAACCGAGUCUUAACUGGGCGUUAAGUUGCAGGGUAUAGACCCGAAACCCGGUGAUCUAGCCAUGGGCAGGUUGAAGGUUGGGUAACACUAACUGGAGGACCGAACCGACUAAUGUUGAAAAAUUAGCGGAUGACUUGUGGCUGGGGGUGAAAGGCCAAUCAAACCGGGAGAUAGCUGGUUCUCCCCGAAAGCUAUUUAGGUAGCGCCUCGUGAAUUCAUCUCCGGGGGUAGAGCACUGUUUCGGCAAGGGGGUCAUCCCGACUUACCAACCCGAUGCAAACUGCGAAUACCGGAGAAUGUUAUCACGGGAGACACACGGCGGGUGCUAACGUCCGUCGUGAAGAGGGAAACAACCCAGACCGCCAGCUAAGGUCCCAAAGUCAUGGUUAAGUGGGAAACGAUGUGGGAAGGCCCAGACAGCCAGGAUGUUGGCUUAGAAGCAGCCAUCAUUUAAAGAAAGCGUAAUAGCUCACUGGUCGAGUCGGCCUGCGCGGAAGAUGUAACGGGGCUAAACCAUGCACCGAAGCUGCGGCAGCGACGCUUAUGCGUUGUUGGGUAGGGGAGCGUUCUGUAAGCCUGUGAAGGUGUGCUGUGAGGCAUGCUGGAGGUAUCAGAAGUGCGAAUGCUGACAUAAGUAACGAUAAAGCGGGUGAAAAGCCCGCUCGCCGGAAGACCAAGGGUUCCUGUCCAACGUUAAUCGGGGCAGGGUGAGUCGACCCCUAAGGCGAGGCCGAAAGGCGUAGUCGAUGGGAAACAGGUUAAUAUUCCUGUACUUGGUGUUACUGCGAAGGGGGGACGGAGAAGGCUAUGUUGGCCGGGCGACGGUUGUCCCGGUUUAAGCGUGUAGGCUGGUUUUCCAGGCAAAUCCGGAAAAUCAAGGCUGAGGCGUGAUGACGAGGCACUACGGUGCUGAAGCAACAAAUGCCCUGCUUCCAGGAAAAGCCUCUAAGCAUCAGGUAACAUCAAAUCGUACCCCAAACCGACACAGGUGGUCAGGUAGAGAAUACCAAGGCGCUUGAGAGAACUCGGGUGAAGGAACUAGGCAAAAUGGUGCCGUAACUUCGGGAGAAGGCACGCUGAUAUGUAGGUGAAGUCCCUUGCGGAUGGAGCUGAAAUCAGUCGAAGAUACCAGCUGGCUGCAACUGUUUAUUAAAAACACAGCACUGUGCAAACACGAAAGUGGACGUAUACGGUGUGACGCCUGCCCGGUGCCGGAAGGUUAAUUGAUGGGGUCAGCGCAAGCGAAGCUCUUGAUCGAAGCCCCGGUAAACGGCGGCCGUAACUAUAACGGUCCUAAGGUAGCGAAAUUCCUUGUCGGGUAAGUUCCGACCUGCACGAAUGGCGUAAUGAUGGCCAGGCUGUCUCCACCCGAGACUCAGUGAAAUUGAACUCGCUGUGAAGAUGCAGUGUACCCGCGGCAAGACGGAAAGACCCCGUGAACCUUUACUAUAGCUUGACACUGAACAUUGAGCCUUGAUGUGUAGGAUAGGUGGGAGGCUUAGAAGUGUGGACGCCAGUCUGCAUGGAGCCGACCUUGAAAUACCACCCUUUAAUGUUUGAUGUUCUAACGUUGACCCGUAAUCCGGGUUGCGGACAGUGUCUGGUGGGUAGUUUGACUGGGGCGGUCUCCUCCUAAAGAGUAACGGAGGAGCACGAAGGUUGGCUAAUCCUGGUCGGACAUCAGGAGGUUAGUGCAAUGGCAUAAGCCAGCUUGACUGCGAGCGUGACGGCGCGAGCAGGUGCGAAAGCAGGUCAUAGUGAUCCGGUGGUUCUGAAUGGAAGGGCCAUCGCUCAACGGAUAAAAGGUACUCCGGGGAUAACAGGCUGAUACCGCCCAAGAGUUCAUAUCGACGGCGGUGUUUGGCACCUCGAUGUCGGCUCAUCACAUCCUGGGGCUGAAGUAGGUCCCAAGGGUAUGGCUGUUCGCCAUUUAAAGUGGUACGCGAGCUGGGUUUAGAACGUCGUGAGACAGUUCGGUCCCUAUCUGCCGUGGGCGCUGGAGAACUGAGGGGGGCUGCUCCUAGUACGAGAGGACCGGAGUGGACGCAUCACUGGUGUUCGGGUUGUCAUGCCAAUGGCACUGCCCGGUAGCUAAAUGCGGAAGAGAUAAGUGCUGAAAGCAUCUAAGCACGAAACUUGCCCCGAGAUGAGUUCUCCCUGACUCCUUGAGAGUCCUGAAGGAACGUUGAAGACGACGACGUUGAUAGGCCGGGUGUGUAAGCGCAGCGAUGCGUUGAGCUAACCGGUACUAAUGAACCGUGAGGCUUAACCUU